rfam:Devosia sp. S37 DIN_R1_(paired)_trimmed_(paired)_contig_63, whole genome shotgun sequence.
CGCAUAUUUCGCCCAGGCGGAGCUCGACCGCCCGUUCAAGCGAUGAUUGCCUUCAUUGAUGAGCACCGGGAUGCUUAUGGGGUCGAGCCGAUCUGCAAGGUUCUGCCGAUCGCCCCA